GAUGAACGCUGGCGGCGUGCCUAAUACAUGCAAGUCGAGCGAACAGACGAGGAGCUUGCUCCUCUGACGUUAGCGGCGGACGGGUGAGUAACACGUGGAUAACCUACCUAUAAGACUGGGAUAACUUCGGGAAACCGGGGCUAAUACCGGAUAAUAUAUUGAACCGCAUGGUUCAAUAGUGAAAGACGGUUUUGCUGUCACUUAUAGAUGGAUCCGCGCCGCAUUAGCUAGUUGGUAAGGUAACGGCUUACCAAGGCAACGAUGCGUAGCCGACCUGAGAGGGUGAUCGGCCACACUGGAACUGAGACACGGUCCAGACUCCUACGGGAGGCAGCAGUAGGGAAUCUUCCGCAAUGGGCGAAAGCCUGACGGAGCAACGCCGCGUGAGUGAUGAAGGUCUUCGGAUCGUAAAACUCUGUUAUUAGGGAGGAACAAAUGUGUAAGUAACUAUGCACGUCUUGACGGUACCUAAUCAGAAAGCCACGGCUAACUACGUG
rnacentral:rRNA from 1 species